UACAGAGGUCCCAAGCGUUGUUCGGAUUCACUGGGCGUAAAGGGUGCGUAGGCGGUCGGGUAAGUCUGAUGUGAAAUCUCACAGCUUAACUGUGAAACUGCAUUGGAUACUAUCCGGCUCGAGGAAUGGAGGGGAGACUGGAAUACUUGGUGUAGCAGUGAAAUGCGUAGAUAUCGAGAGGAACACCAGUGGCGAAGGCGAGUCUCUGGACAUUUCCUGACGCUGAGGCACGAAAGCCAGGGGAGCAAACGGG
rnacentral:rRNA from 1 species